AUGCACCCGGAGAUAAGCAAGUUCCCCCUCUCGAGGUUUUACCUCGGCAAGGUGACAGAUGGCCCCAACAUCCUCGAAAGGGAUUACGAGAGGAAGCUCCUGGCUGGCCCAAUGUACGGCCCUUACUCGUUCAUCGACAUCAAAGGCAGGACCGAGAGCUCGGGCGAGCAUGGCAUGAGCCUGAGCAACACGGCCGAGGCAGCCGCCGUGACCCGGAUCGUGGAGAGAUUGUUCAAUGAGUCGGUUCGCUCGGGACAAAAGCUCGCCGUAGGCGUGGUAUCGCCGUACAAGGCGCAAGUCCACGCCAUCCAGGAGAGGCUCGGAAGGCUCGAGUGCGGGGCACACGGCGGCAGAGAACGCUUCUCCCUGAAGGUUCAGACCGUGGACGGGUUCCAGGGCGCCGUGGACGGUCCUCCACUGGGUUGA
rnacentral:rRNA from 1 species